GACGAACGCUGGCGGCGUGCUUAACACAUGCAAGUCGAACGGAAAGGCCCUGCUUUUGUGGGGUGCUCGAGUGGCGAACGGGUGAGUAACACGUGAGUAACCUGCCCUUUACUUUGGGAUAACUUCAGGAAACUGGGGCUAAUACCGGAUAGGAGCUCCUGCUGCAUGGUGGGGGUUGGAAAGUUUCGGCGGUUGGGGAUGGACUCGCGGCUUAUCAGCUUGUUGGUGGGGUAGUGGCUUACCAAGGCUUUGACGGGUAGCCGGCCUGAGAGGGUGACCGGCCACAUUGGGACUGAGAUACGGACCAGACUCCUACGGGAGGCAGCAGUGGGGAAUAUUGCACAGUGGGCGGAAGCCUGAUGCAGCGACGCCGCGUGCGGGAUGACGGCCUUCGGGUUGUAAACCGCUUUCGCCUGUGACGAAGCGUGAGUGACGGUAAUGGGUAAAGAAGCACCGGCUAACUACGUG
rnacentral:rRNA from 1 species